rnacentral:lncRNA from 1 species
UAUUAAAUAGGGUUGAUGUAUAAAAGGCUUUGUUUCUCAGCAAAUCAAAACAGUGAUUUAAUUUUUAAAACAUGUCCUGUCUUUUCUAUUUAAAAACUCACAAUGCCCAAUUUCCAUGAGGCAUGCUUAUACAGUAAUGUGUUUAAGUUUUUUCUAAGUGUUUUGAGUACCAAACUUAGUUGCAAGGAGAACAUUGGCAAGGGCACUUAGGAUUGGUAGUGAAGAGAGAAAUACGCUCCCAUUUCACUUUAUCUAACUUAUUCCAACAGUACUUUGAGAAAGGACAUGUGAAAAUAAAAAAAAAAAUCCUUGAAGUAGUCCAAAUGCAGAUACUUCAGACUAAAACAUUAAUAGUGUGAAAGGUUGUCCCGUGGGCAGAAUGUGGCACUACUCCAACUAAUUUAAGGGAUUUCAGGUUUUCUCUGGUGAGCUGGGAGAUGUGAUUUAGGGCAGACACCAUGCUGCAGACAAAUGGGAAAAUGAGAGUCCCAAGGGCAGUGAAGACUCAGGGAGAGAGGUGGUCAGAGUAGGUUCCAGGGAUGAGACUAAUGAUGGGUCUCAAGUACAGCAAUAGCUGACACCGAGCUUAAAACUUCUACUUUCCUGCUGAUAUCCUUACAGAAUUUUAAAUUCUAGAAACCAAUGUCAGUGUGCUUCUGAGAAUGGAGAUGGGUCCCAAGUUGUCCCCUAGAACAUUGUGGCUAUGAAGAGAUGGCAAGAGGAGAACAAAUUGCUAUUCAAAGUAAGAAGUGGCAAGUGACAAUCAAGCAAACCUCAGCACACCCCCAAGAGCUGGCGGAAACACUUGGUUUACUGCAGAAGCAUGGGAUACAAGUUAAACUAUUUUACUGGACAUUAAUCAAAGGAUAACCCUGAAAAGACAGGGGAAAACUUAGUAAGGCUAAGAACUACCUUGAUAUUGUCUGUGCCUUGGCACAUAAUGAGUAUUGAAAACACAGGAAGGCUUAACAAUUCAGAACAGAGGUUGUAGAGACAGAUUUAAGUUUGAAUUUCAACUCUGCCAAGUGACCUUGAGCAAGUUUCUUAACAUCUGAAAACCUCUGUUUCUUCUUGUUUAAAAUAGACAUAAUGAGAAGGAUUGAGUGCAGUCAUGCAUGUAAAUGUAUCUGACGUGUAAUAAAU